rnacentral:rRNA from 1 species
AUUGAACGCUGGCGGCAGGCCUAACACAUGCAAGUCGAGCGAGCGGCGGACGGGUGAGUAAUGUAUGGGGACUGCCCGAUAGCGGGGGAUAACUACUGGCAACGGUGGCUAAUACCGCAUACUAUCGGAUAACCCAUAUGGGAUUAGCUAGUAGGUGGGGUAAAGGCUCACCUAGGCGACGAUCUCUCGCUGGUCUGAGAGGAUGAUCAGCCAAACUGGGGCUGGGACACGGCGCAGACUCCGCCGGACGCAGCAGUGGGGAAGAUUGCACAAUGGGCGCAAGCCUGAUGCAGCCAUGCCGCGUGUAUGAAGAAGGCCUUAGGGUUGUAAAGUACUUUCAGCGGGGAGGCGUUACCCGCAGAAGAAGCACGGGCUAACUCCGUGCCAGCAGCCGCGGUAAUAC